rnacentral:rRNA from 1 species
UACGUAGGGUGCGAGCGUUUGCCGGAAUUAUUGGGCGUAAAGGGCUCGUAGGCGGUUUGUCGCGUCGGGAGUGAAAAUCCAGGGCUUAACUCUGGACUGGCUUCCGAUACGGGCAGACUAGAGGUAUGCAGGGGGAGAACGGAAUUCCUGGUGUAGCGGUGAAAUGCGCAGAUAUCAGGAGGAACACCGGUGGCGAAGGCGGGUCUCUGGGCCGAUACUGACGCUGAGGAGCGAAAGCGUGGGGAGCGAACAGG